CGCCAAGGUCCAGCCCGCCCAGCCAUCCCUGGCUUCCCGCUCUUUUCCCCUUCACUUCGCCCAGAGCCUUCUAGAACCUUCCGUUCCACCCGGAGCCAUCGCCAUGGCCGCCGCCUCCUCCUCCUCCUCCGCCCGGUGCUUCCCCCUCCUCCACGAGACCCUCCUUCUAUCCUUCAAGCCGCGGGUCUUCCCCGACUGUUUGCUCGAGAUCGACGCGAAGCGCACCGACCCGGCCGCGCCCAUCAUCGUGGCGGCGUUCGAGGGCGACAUCCCCACGAUGAAGAGGCUGGCGAAGCAGAGGAAAAGGGAGGGGGGGAGCGUGGAGGCGGUGGAGGGUAUCAAGGGCUCCCAGAGCAGCAGGCGCCUCGGGGCGCUCCAUGUGGCCGCCUUCGCCGGGAAGCACAAGAUGUGCAAGUUCCUCAUCAAGGAUCUCCGCCUCGACGUCAACGCGGCCGCUGAGCAUGGGAGGUACUUGUGUUUACGUCACAAAAGUUCCGCGGAUAGUUGGUUUCUUGAAAAUGGAUAGUUGGUUUCUUGAAAAUAGGAACAUUCGAGGUACAUGAAAGUAGAGACCAAUGAUGGAAGUGUGAGUAAUUAAUGUUCAUUGGGCUUCGUUUUAUUUUUGUGCAUUACUCACUUGUGGUACCUGCUUGUGCCACUUUCUAGUAUGUAUUUUGCAGGUUCAGUCGCUCUUGGUUACGUAUCCCACUUUUGGUCGGAAGAAAGAAUGGGUGGUCAUUUUGACAAAGUUUUUAUCAUAUCUUGUGCUCUUGCUAGGUUUAUCACCUCUGAUAUGUGCAAUAUACGGUAUUGCGCCUAAAAGAAUUGUGGAGCUUCUACUUGAUCGUGGUGCUAAUCCAAACAUAGAAAACAGGGAAGGGUUUACCGUGCUCCAUGUUCUUGCAACAAAGAAAGCUCUAUUUUUUCCAGAUCUCUUUGGAAUAGCAGAUAUAUUGUUAUCCAGAGGGGCCAAUGUUGACUCUAUGAGCUCAGAAGGAACACCACUACAUAUUGCUGCUCAGUGUGGAAAUGUGGAAAUGAUGGAAGUACUGUUGAAGUAUAAGGCAAAUGUAUUGAUUUCCUUCUUUCCAUCUCUUCUACGCUCUCUUUCUGGUAAUGUUCGGUAUAGUUUAUACAGUCUUAUAUCAUGAUAAAGAGAAGUCGUGGCCAAAAGGUAUUUACCUCAAGGAACUUUCCUAAUCCUGCAUACUUGGUGGAAUAUAUGCUAUUUUUACCUCCUUGACCAAACUAAGCUAGGGCUCUCUUUUAUUUGCUGGCUCUAGUCUUGUGUCUUUUAUGUUCUUUUCUUGUUUUACCAUUCAUCAUUUGUUCAUGGGUCUUUUGUUCUUCCCUUGCUUAAAAUGUUUUAGAUUCUUGAUGAAUGCCAGAUCGGGGUCAGACCAAGUUCCAGUUUAAUCCACUGUCCAUGUUGAUGGGGCUCACUUCUCCCGAUCUAGCCCGUAUAACUGCUUAAUUGAUAUUCUGACUUCUGAGUGUUGAUGCUGGGUCGUUGCAACUUUGCACACAACGUACUCGAAUGCUAGCAAAUAUCAAUCGGCGGCGAUAACUGAUAACGGCAACAUAUGACCUUCCUUAAGUUACCUUGAUUCUUUUGCAGUCUCUUAGAUCCUUCAUCUGAUGGAUCUAGUGGUAAUAAUUACAUGAGGGCCUUUGCUACUGAACACUGGAAUAUCUUUCCAAAAAUAUAUUGGGUGCAUACUCUUAUGUCCAACGAUUCAUUUGGAAAAGAAAAUUAAAGCACAUGACUUCCUUUGCACCUAUAGCUUUGUCUGGAAAAAUAACUAAAGUACGUCAAACGGUGGUUUUAGUAAUUUCUGUAUUUGGUCUGCUAAUGAUUGCACAAUAAAGAGCUGAUAGUUUAUUAUUCUUCGUUGACUACCGUGUUAUUAUUUCUCUGCAAGUAAUGU